rnacentral:rRNA from 1 species
CUGUUAUCCCCACGGUAACUUGUUAGUUUCCUUUUUAGGGUUAUUUUUGUUUUUGUGUAUAAAAGAGUUAGUUUUUUACCGCCCCAGUGAAAAAAUUGUUUUAAGUUCGAUGGGGUCUUGUCGUCUUCUAUGAAAAUAUAAGCCUUUUUACUUAGAUGUGAAUUUUGAGAAUUUAAAAUAAUAAAGAAUUCAACUCGUUUAUCCUUUCAUUCUAGCCUUUAAUUAAAAGGCAAGUGAUUAUGCUACCUUAGCACAUAAGUUUGCGGCUAUUUAAAUAUCAUUGAGCAGGAUUUACUAAUUA